ACGGAAGGCAGCAGUGAGGAAUAUUGGGCAAUGGGCGAAAGCCUGACCCAGCAACGCCGCGUGAAGGAAGAAGAUUUUCGGAUUGUAAACUUCUUUUAUGUGGGACGAAGGAAGUGACGGUACCACAUGAAUAAGCCCCGGCUAACUACGUGCCAGCAGCCGCGGUAAUACGUAGGUGGCAAGCGUUAUCCGGAAUUACUGGGUGUAAAGGGAGCGCAGGCGGGAUAGCAAGUCAGCGGUGAAAUGUAUGGGCUUAACCCAUGAACUGCCGUUGAAACUGUUAUUCUUGAGUGGAGUAGAGGCAGGCGGAAUUCCGAGUGUAGCGGUGAAAUGCGUAGAUAUUCGGAGGAACACCAGUGGCGAAGGCGGCCUGCUGGGCUCUAACUGACGCUGAGGCUCGAAAGUGUGGGGAGCAAACAGGAUUAGAUACCCUGGUA
rnacentral:rRNA from 1 species